UCAGAGGUGAUGAUGAUAUAGUGGUGGU
rnacentral:piRNA from 1 species